rnacentral:rRNA from 1 species
UACAGAGGCCUCGAGCGUUAGGCGGAAUCACUGGGCUUAAAGCGUGUGUAGGCGGAUGCCUAAGUGCUUUGUGAAAUCCCACGGCUCAACCGUGGAAUUGCUUGGCAUACUGGGUGUCUUGAGCCAUCUAGGGGCGAGCGGAACAAGUGGUGGAGCGGUGAAAUGCGUAGAUAUCACUUGGGAACGCCAACGGUGAAAACAGCUCGCUGGGGAUGUGCUGACGCUGAGACACGAAAGCCAGGGGAGCGAACGGG